AUCGACUGAGCCGCCCAGGCGCCCCCGAGGUGCAUUUUUAAAGAGCUUUGUGCAGGAAACAUUAGUUGGAAGUCUACUCAAGAUCCACUCAACUUUCCUUUUUUUUUCUUUUGAAAAAUCACUUCUACUGCACCCUUAGGAUUCUUGGUGGGAAUGAUUCUAUUCGAGCUACGUGAGUGGGCCUCAGCCAGUCACAAGGACCCACACAAGUAUCCUCAUAGAAGCUGGUCAGAGUCUCCCACCGUGAGAGUGAGACUGGUUCAGGGUCAGAAAGAAAAGGUUGCAAAUUCCUUCACUUCUUGGGUGCAUAUAGAAUGUCCCGGAUUUGGUUGGAUUUAAUGGGCGGAACAGCGAAGCACACACCCAUCUUGCCGGAAGCGGAGAUCUCCCUGCCUUUUUGUGUGAAGAGUGUGGCUUCAGCCGACCGCUGAGGAGCCCGGAGUUCUUGGCCGUGGUUUUUUCCUCUGGGUCGGAAUCAUUUCCUCCCCGGGCUUCCAGAAUCACCAGAGGAAUCUUCAUGGCAGGAUCUACAAGCCGCGCCACCUUCUCUCUCCGAAGCCAAGCCCACGACGCCCUAGAAACUUCCCUGGAACGUCCUGUCUGUGCCUGGCUGAUGCGGAGACUUGCCGUCCCGGUUCACCUUCUUGUCGCCUCUGUUCUGAGAGGAGAAGGCGAUUUGAGCUCUCCUAUGACGAGGCGCCCAGAAACCACCACGGACUUCCUUCUUUCCUGCACCGGUGUCCGACCUCCCCCCGCCCCCAGCGGUCGACAGCUGAGGGUCUGCUGGUAUUCUGAUGAUUGUUUCCAGUUGUCCCAAAGGGACUUCUUUGAUUAAGCCUCGUUUUCUACAUCAAAUGUACCACUUUGCCUUCAUCGUGUGGCAGAUUCUUGUACACUGGAACAAAAAAUCGACCUUCUUGAUCAGCACACGUAAAUCAAAAUAAUGAAUAGCAGUUUUCACC